rnacentral:lncRNA from 1 species
GGUACAUCCAUGCAGUGGAAUACUAGUCAGCCAUGAAAAAGAACACACAUAAAACAACUUGAAGGGACCUUACAGGUAUUAUGCUUAGUGACAAAAGCCAGUCUUAAAAGGUUCUAUACCAUGAUUCCAUUUAUGUAACAGUAUUGAAGGAACAACAUUAUGGUGAUGAAGAAGGGAUUAGAGGUUGCUGGGAUUAGGAGGGUGUUACUAUAAAAAGUAAGGAGGAGUUUUUCAGGGGCUAUGGAAGUUUUGCCUCCUCAUUGUAGCAGUGGUUACCUGAAUUGAUGUGUGUCAUACAAUUUCAUAGAACUUGUGUUGUGGGGGGCAGGAAACCACUCUCAGACCCAGUGAUUUGCUAGAAAGACUCAGGACUCAGAAACUGUUGAGCUCAGAGGGAGAGGGUGACCAGUCUCUGCAGUUGCAGCCCUGGUGCUGUUCUAAUCUGUAUCUUUUCCUGGUAAUAGACAUGGCUGUGAGCAUGACAGGUGUCAGUGAGCUCUGUGUGCCUCAUCAACGAAUCAUCCAACCUGAAGGUGGUUGUGGGAAACUCUUGGACCUGCAGUCAGUAUCAGAAGGCCUGGGCAGACUUGGCCAGCCACCUGGAGCACUGUGCCCUUAAACUCAGGGCAUUCACUGGUGACCCACACUGACACUGCUUUUUGGAGGACAAGGCAGAGGUGACCAUCCCAGUCUUGCCUGGAGGUCACAGGACGGUUGUCACUGCAGCCUCAGGUCUGCUGCAUAAUCCCAUGACCCUCCAGAUCUGAGCCAUGACCCACUCCGGGCCCUGCCGGCGGGGAGGCG